rfam:Vicugna pacos cont1.145896, whole genome shotgun sequence.
UGCCAGUGCGUUUACAUGGGUGUGGUACUAAGUGUGUCUUGUUUACCUUAUCUUUCUUUGGAAAAAGUUUUGAAGUCUGGUUGGGUUUGUCACAUCAUGCCUGUUGCCUAGCACCACCAAAAGUGUUCUUAUCUAGCAACAGAGACUGGAUAGGUGGAGGUUGUAGCUUGUC